GUUGACAGUAUAAAUAUGUAGUGCAUUAAUUUACUUGAGAAGUAUUGUGUUAGUACAUUUUCUCUGUUUCCAAAUGAAAACUUAAAAGUAUUAAGAUAAAGACAAAUUCUACAUAUAUUCUAUCUAUUGCACACUUUGAAAUGAUUUGAAUAUGUAAGCAUUGCAAGUUGAAACAGUCUAAUAACUCAACAUUCACUAGCCUCAAAGUUGUUGUAUAUUAUUGUAUGUCAAGCUGACUACUAUGCACAUUUGGAACACUACAACCCUAUUUUUCAUGAAAGAAUCGCCCUGUAUGCGUCUGUAAUUGUGAAUUGCAUGUACUGGGAGUAAAGAUUUCCUCGAUGGUUAAGUAAUGAACAGCUUCAGGAGUUAAUGAGGAAAGGAUGCUCUCUGGUUAGACUGUGUGAUAUAACUUGUGACAUAGGCGGUUCACUAGAAUGUGUCAAUCAAACAACUUCCAUUGACUCACCUUUUUUCAGGUUUAGUUAUUAUUCUGUGACAUAAUUCAAGUUACACUAUUUUAUCAAUUAUGGUAUAUUUAAGAGAGAAUAGUACGAUAAACUAUGUUUUUGCAAUCAUGUUUCUCCUAA